rnacentral:rRNA from 1 species
UGCCAGACUCCUACGGGAGGCAGCAGUAGGGAAUUUUGCGCAAUGGGGGAAACCCUGACGCAGCAACACCGCGUGAAUGUUAAGCCCUUCGGGGUGUAAAGUUCUGCCAAUAGGGACGAAUUUUGACUGUACCUAUAAAGGAAGCACCGGCUAACUCCGUGCCAGCAGCCGCGGUAAUACGUAGGGGGCAAGCGUUAUCCGGAAUUACUGGGUGUAAAGGGAGCGUAGACGGUGAAGUAAGUCUGGAGUGAAAGGCGGGGGCCCAACCCCCGGACUGCUCUGGAAACUAUUUGACUGGAGUGCAGGAGAGGUAAGCGGAAUUCCUAGUGUAGCGGUGAAAUGCGUAGAUAUUAGGAGGAACACCAGUGGCGAAGGCGGCUUACUGGACUGUAACUGACGUUGAGGCUCGAAAGCGUGGGGAGCAAACAGGAUUAGAUACCCCGGUAG